UACGUAGGGACCGAGCGUUGUCCGGAAUCAUUGGGCGUAAAGCGCGCGUAGGCGGCCCGGUAAGUCCGCUGUAAAAGUCAAAGGCUCAACCUUUGAAUGUCAGUGGAUACUGCCGGGCUAGAGUCCGGAAGAGGCGAGUGGAACUCCUGGUGUAGCGGUGGAAUGCGCAGAUAUCAGGAAGAACACCGACGGCGAAGGCAGCUCGCUGGGACGGUACUGACGCUGAGGCGCGAAAGCGUGGGGAGCGAACAGG
rnacentral:rRNA from 1 species